AUCAACAGCCAUAUCAUCCUGUAGCCCAAGACCGAUUACUCACUGAAGCUAAGCAGGGCUCAGCCUGGUCAGUGCCUGGAUGGGAGACCACAUGGGAAAACUAAGUGGUGUUAGAG
ensembl:rRNA 5S_rRNA 5S ribosomal RNA